rnacentral:tmRNA from 2 species
GGGGAUGAUCGGUUUCGACGUUGGACAACGCGUCGGGAGAAGCGGGUCGAGAAUGCAGAGUCAUCUCGUUAAUGUCCUCUGCAAAAAAUAGGUGCUAAGUCUAACAACCGCACCGAGUUCGCCCUCGCCGCCUGAUAACAGGCAUUCAACAGCGAGCUGCGACUCCGUCAGCCUAGAGUUGCUUUCACUCUAGUCACUGGCGUCAGCGAGAAAGCCACUGCUGUCGGCACAUGUUGGGGGUGCCGACGGGACUUCUACUCAACUCCGUCCGCUGGUCUACGUGUUCGUGCGAUGACCAGGACCUAAGAAGCUGCUUCACGAACUGCACCCGGAGAAUGCCCGGCAACUUGCCGACGGACGCGGGUUCGAUUCCCGCCAUCUCCACGU